rnacentral:rRNA from 1 species
AGUGAACGCUGGCGGUAGGCCUAACACAUGCAAGUCGAACGGCAGCACAGUAAGAGCUUGCUCUUACGGGUGGCGAGUGGCGGACGGUUGAGGAAUACAUCGGAAUCUACUUUUUCGUGGGGGAUAACGUAGGGAAAAUUACGCUAAUACCGCAUACGACCUACGGGUGAAAGCAGGGGAUCUUCGGACCUUGCGCGAUUGAAUGAGCCGAUGUCGGAUUAGCUAGUUGGCGGGGUAAAGGCCCACCAAGGCGACGAUCCGUAGCUGGUCUGAGAGGAUGAUCAGCCACACUGGAACUGAGACACGGUCCAGACUCCUACGGGAGGCAGCAGUGGGGAAUAUUGGACAAUGGGCGCAAGCCUGAUCCAGCCAUACCGCGUGGGUGAAGAAGGCCUUCGGGUUGUAAAGCCCUUUUGUUGGGAAAGAAAAGCAGCAGGUUAAUACCCCGCUGUUCUGACGGUACCCAAAGAAUAAGCACCGGCUAACUUCGUG